AGCGAACGCUGGCGGCAGGCCUAACACAUGCAAGUCGAACGAACCUUUCGGGGUUAGUGGCGGAUGGGUGAGUAACACGUGGGAACGUGCCUUUAGGUUCGGAAUAACUCAGGGAAACUUGUGCUAAUACCGAAUGUGCCCUUCGGGGGAAAGAUUUAUCGCCUUUAGAGCGGCCCGCGUCUGAUUAGCUAGUUGGUUGAGGUAAUGGCUCACCAAGGCGACGAUCAGUAGCUGGUCUGAGAGGAUGAUCAGCCACAUUGGGACUGAGACACGGCCCAAACUCCUACGGGAGGCAGCAGUGGGGAAUCUUGCGCAAUGGGCGAAAGCCUGACGCAGCCAUGCCGCGUGAAUGAUGAAGGUCUUAGGAUUGUAAAAUUCUUUCACCGGGGACGAUAAUGACGGUACCCGGAGAAGAAGCCCCGGCUAACUUCGUG
rnacentral:rRNA from 1 species